UCGCGUCAUGCGCCGAAGGCAGGAGCGGGGGACCCACGGUUUGUGCCGGCCCCGGCCGUCGAGAGACGGCCGACGACCGGCUCGGGGUGAAGCCGGAUGCGCGAGCGUCCGGCCGGGCAACUCACUUGGCCCGAACCCGACAGCUCACCUCGUAGGCGUCGGUGAGGAGAGUU
rnacentral:sRNA from 2 species